GACGAACGCUGGCGGCACGCCUAACACAUGCAAGUCGAACGGACUUCUCAUGAAGCUUGCGAUUGAGAAGUUAGUGGCGGACGGGUGAGUAACGCGUGGGCAACCUGCCCCUGAGCCCGGGAUAACAGUUCGAAAGGACUGCUAAGACCGGAUAUACUUGCGGGGAAGCAUUUCACUGCAAGGAAAGGGAACGCUCAGGGAUGGGCCCGCGUCCCAUUAGCUAGUUGGUGAGGUAACGGCCCACCAAGGCGACGAUGGGUAGCCGGCCUGAGAGGGUGAACGGCCACACUGGGACUGAGACACGGCCCAGACUCCUACGGGAGGCAGCAGUUGGGAAUCUUCGGCAAUGGGCGCAAGCCUGACCGAGCAACGCCGCGUGAGUGAUGAAGGUUUUCGGAUUGUAAAGCUCUGUCUUCCGGGACGAUAAUGACGGUACCGGAGGAGGAAGCCACGGCUAACUACGUG
rnacentral:rRNA from 1 species